GGAAAGAGCAGGAGAGAAGAUAAGAGGCUGGGCCUGGAGAUACCUGCUUUUCUCCUAAAGGGGGUGAGGCAGGAAGAGAAGAUUGGGAAAAGAAGGAAGGCCAUGCCUCUGCUGGAGGCCUAUACAAGGACACCAAAGAAGGAAGCUUUUGCUCUUUGCCUGCUUCGUCUUGCCUGGCUAGCACGUCCAUUCCUUCCCUGGUGUUUGAGCAUACUACUGCAGGAUCCCAGCAUAUCCUGAAGAGCACCUGAGACAUCCAGCCUCGUGGACUGAACAACUCCUGGAUUCUUGGACCUUCCAUUCAGAGGCAGUUGGACCACAAUCUGAACUCCUUGUAAAACUCCUGCUGCUGAUCUUGAACUCCUGACGAUCUUCCUGCUCAGCCUCACAAGUACCAGGAUUACACGAGUGCUCCCUCCCUUACAGAAAAAAAAACUGCAUAUUUUUGUGAGCAUGGGAAGAUAUUGGUAUUAAACAUAAAGGCUUCACACA